CCCCUGGCAAGCUAACUCUAACCCCCAGUCACCAUCCCUCAGCCCUACAGGUCAGUCAGUCCCCUGGCAAGCUAACUCUAACCCCCAGUUACCAUCCCUCAGCCCUACAGGUCAGUCAGUCCCCUGGCAAGCUAACUCUAACCCCCAGUUACCAUCCCUCAGCCCUACAGGUCAGUCAGUCCCCUGGCAAGCUAACUCUAACCCCCAGUUACCAUCCCUCAGCCCUACAGGUCAGUCAGUCCCCUGGCAAGCUAACUCUAACCCCCAGUCACCAUCCCUCAGCCCUACAGGUCAGUCAGUCCCCUGGCAAGCUAACUCUAACCCCCAGUCACCAUCCCUCAGCCCUACAGGUCAGUCAGUCCCCUGGCAAGCUAACUCUAACCCCCAGUCACCAUCCCUCAGCCCUACAGGUCAGUCAGUCCCCUGGCAAGCUAACUCUAACCCCCAGUCACCAUCCCUCAGCCCUACAGGUCAGUCAGUCCCCUGGCAAGCUAACUCUAACCCCCAGUCACCAUCCCUCAGCCCUACAGGUCAGUCAGUCCCCUGGCAAGCUAACUCUAACCCCCAGUCACCAUCCCUCAGCCCUACAGGUCAGUCAGUCCCCUGGCAAGCUAACUCUAACCCCCAGUCACCAUCCCUCAGCCCUACAGGUCAGUCAGUCCCCUGGCUAGUCAACCCCUAGUUACUCUUCAAUCCAUCACCCGCUCAGCUUUCAAGGCUAGCAAAAUAUAAUUUAUUGAUUCCAAAUAGGUGCCUACCACCUAGGCACUCCUGCAGAUCUAAAAGGAUUGGAUAGAUUUAAGCA